GAUGAACGCUGGCGGCGUGCCUAAUACAUGCAAGUCGAGCGAACGGACGAGAAGCUUGCUUCUCUGAUGUUAGCGGCGGACGGGCGAGUAACACGUGGAUAACCUACCUAUAAGACUGGGAUAACUUCGGGAAACCGGAGCUAAUACCGGAUAAUAUUUUGCACCGCAUGGUUCAAAAGUGAAAGACGGUCUUGCUGUCACUUAUAGAUGGAUCCGCGCUGCAUUAGCUAGUUGGUAAGGUAACGGCUUACCAAGGCAACGAUGCAUAGCCGACCUGAGAGGGUGAUCGGCCACACUGGAACUGAGACACGGUCCAGACUCCUACGGGAGGCAGCAGUAGGGAAUCUUCCGCAAUGGGCGGAAGCCUGACGGAGCAACGCCGCGUGAGUGAUGAAGGUCUUCGGAUCGUAAAACUCUGUUAUUAGGGAAGAACAUAUGUGUAAGUAACUGUGCACAUCUUGACGGUACCUAAUCAGAAAGCCACGGCUAACUACGUG
rnacentral:rRNA from 1 species